rnacentral:piRNA from 1 species
UGAGUUGUGGCACUUGGACUAGCUGGCA